rnacentral:rRNA from 1 species
UACGAAGGGGGCUAGCGUUGUUCGGAAUUACUGGGCGUAAAGCGCGCGCAGGCGGUCCUUCAAGUCAGAGGUGAAAGCCCAGAGCUCAACUCUGGAACGGCCUUUGAGACUAGAGGACUUGGGUACGGGAGAGGUGAGUGGAAUUCCGAGUGUAGAGGUGAAAUUCGUAGAUAUGCGGAGGAACACCGAUGGCGAAGGCAGCCCCUGGGCUGACACUGACGCUCAGGCACGAAAGCGUGGGGAGCAAACAGG